GAUGAACGCUGGCGGCGUGCCUAAUACAUGCAAGUCGAGCGAACAGACGAGGAGCUUACUCCCCUGACGUUAGCGGCGGACGGGUGAGUAACACGUGGAUAACCUACCUAUAAGACUGGGAUAACUUCGGGAAACCGGAGCUAAUACCGGAUAACAUGUUGAACCGCAUGGUUCAACAGUGAAAGACGGUCUUGCUGUCACUUAUAGAUGGAUCCGCGUCGCAUUAGCUAGUUGGUAAGGUAACGGCUUACCAAGGCAACGAUGCGUAGCCGACCUGAGAGGGUGAUCGGCCACACUGGAACUGAGACACGGUCCAGACUCCUACGGGGGGCAGCAGUAGGGAAUCUUCCGCAAUGGGCGAAAGCCUGACGGAGCAACGCCGCGUGAGUGAAGAAGGUCUUCGGAUCGUAAAACUCUGUUAUUAGGGAAGAACAAAUGUGUAAGUAACUAUGCACGUCUUGACGGUACCUAAUCAGAAAGCCACGGCUAACUACGUG
rnacentral:rRNA from 1 species